rnacentral:tRNA from 1 species
GCCUGGCUGGCUCAGUUGGAAGAGCGUGUGACUCUAGAUCUCAGGGUUGUGAGUUCGAGCCCCACGUUGGGUG